rnacentral:misc_RNA from 1 species
GAUGAAGAACGUAGCGAAGUGCGAUAAGUAAUGUGAAUUGCAGAAUUCCGUGAAUCAUCGAAUCUUUGAACGCAAAUUGCGCUUCCUGGCAUCCCGGGAAGUAUGCCUGUUUGAGGGUCAGUGUUAAUAAAAAUCGGUUCGUUGCGAAUUUUUUGUGACGUUCCGGAGUUUGGGUUAUCUUAACUUUUUUGGUUAAGAGGCUUAAAAUUGACCUUUUUUUUGCGCAUUUUUUAGACGUACAUAAAUUUUUUUUUAUUCGUCUAUUCUUAAUGCCAAAAUAUAUUAGAUGCGACCAUAUCGUGUGGUUCCGUGUCUAUAAAUUUUUCAUGAUUUGACCUCAAAUCAGGUAGGAGUACCCGCUGAACUUAAGCAUAUCAAUAAGCGGAGGA